rnacentral:lncRNA from 1 species
AUGCAAGGUUGCGCUGAAGGCUUGCUGCUGCUUGCACAGGUUGCUGCAACUUCUCAUGAAGGCCUCCAAGCUUGCCUCUCCACACCUGCAUCGCCUGACUUAGCUGCAGGCUUCCACGGGCAGUCCACACUCCAACAGGAAGCCAUGGAUAUACAGCAUGAAAGUGCAGAUCCAAUCA